rnacentral:rRNA from 1 species
GACGAACGCUGGCGGCGUGCUUAACACAUGCCAGUCGAACGGAAAGGCCCUGCUUUUGUGGGGUGCUCGAGUGGCGAACGGGUGAGUAACACGUGAGUAACCUGCCCUUGACUUUGGGAUAACUUCAGGAAACUGGGGCUAAUACCGGAUAGGAGCUCCUGCUGCAUGGUGGGGGUUGGAAAGUUUCGGCGGUUGGGGAUGGACUCGCGGCUUAUCAGCUUGUUGGUGGGGUAGUGGCUUACCAAGGCUUUGACGGGUAGCCGGCCUGAGAGGGUGACCGGCCACUUUGGGACUGAGAUACGGCCCAGACUCCUACGGGAGGCAGCAGUGGGGAAUAUUGCACAAUGGGCGGAAGCCUGAUGCAGCAACGCCGCGUGCGGGAUGACGGCCUUCGGGUUGUAAUCCGCUUUCGCCUGUGACGAAGCGUGAGUGACGGUAAUGGGUAAAGAAGCACCGGCUAACUACGUG